rnacentral:sRNA from 1 species
AUCGAUGUUUACAUGGACUAUUUGAUUAAUGCGUACUGUGAAGUGAUAUGUGAACGUUUCGUACUGUGACAAUUUAUGAUGUUUUGUGUGUUUUUAUUGUGAGGAGUGCAAUGUGACCACAUGUGUAUUAAACCUCGAUAUAAUUAGUAGCAAUAAAGAAACAGAUCUAGACACAUCUUAAAAUUGUUUUUGUGAAACUGACUUGCACACACUUAAAAUGCCGCGAGGUGUUAGGAGAAACUUUACAUAACAACCUGAGCAACGGGAGGAAAGCGAUCUUACAUCUUUUUUUCCCGUAUUAGAUUUGAACACCGAUUGAACUAGACUGUGGCGUAAUUAGGAAAAGAAUUAACUGAACUCGGAAUAAAUGUUCCCAAAGGAUUUAGCGUCGCGACAGUGCGUCAACUUUAAAACGAAAAUGUGAAAAACAACAACUUGACUCUAGAGCAGCGCAAAAAUCCGAGUUUUCCCCCGUGCUGGGCAGAAAUGACGUCACAAACCAAAUCAAUGUCUUGUAGACUUUACAGACAAAGGCGCAAUCCUGUACUAUAAUGAUAGCAAGGUUCGUCACAGUCGUCAUUUUGAUUUUUGUUUGGAUCGGUGUUGUAUAGCAUUUUUCCCUAUAGUAGUCUUUCUCCUCGGAAAACUGGCUAAUACAUAGUAGUCUUUUUUUUCGGGGGAUGGAUGGAUUGAAGUAGACUUCCCCCAUAGAAGGAUUUUUUCUCCCCUAUACUUUAGGUUCAGAAUUUAGAAAAGAAUUUUUGGAAAGCCAUUUGACAUUAAACAUUAAAUCAAUGCUUUGCACUUACUCAAAUUGCAUAACCUUCAGGCAAUUGCACACGUCUUUGUCGACUAAUUACUUAAUAUGCUUUACAAUACAAUGUUUUGAUUUGGUUCAUGAAUAUGAAAUAUGAAGAACUUUACCAAUUAUUCGUUAAAUGUACAUGCAUAUGGGGUGAC